rnacentral:snoRNA from 1 species
GCAUGGGUUUGGAUUUAUGGCAGGCUUGUCACCCUGGGCCUCUCACAGUGCCCCACACUAGGGCAAACUGUGCCUCCGAACCAUUACCUGGCCUCUGCCUGUAGGCUGCUGGUACUGAAGCUGGUCACACCGUG